rnacentral:rRNA from 1 species
UACAGAGGGGGCAAGCGUUGUUCGGAAUUACUGGGCGUAAAGGGCGCGUAGGCGGCCUGCUAAGUCGAACGUGAAAUCCCUGGGCUCAACCCAGGAACUGCGUCCGAUACUGGUUGGCUUGAGUUUGGGAGAGGGAUGCGGAAUUCCAGGUGUAGCGGUGAAAUGCGUAGAUAUCGGGAGGAACACCAAUGGCGAAGGCAGCUCGCUGGGACGUUACUGACGCUGAGACGCGAAAGCGUGGGGAGCAAACAGG